rnacentral:rRNA from 1 species
AUUGAACGCUGGCGGAAUGCUUUACACAUGCAAGUCGAGCGGCAGCGCGGGGGCAACCCUGGCGGCGAGCGGCGAACGGGUGAGUAACAUAUCGGAACGUACCCAGUCGUGGGGGAUAACUAUCCGAAAGGAUAGCUAAUACCGCAUACGUCCUGAGGGAGAAAUCGGGGGAUCGCAAGACCUCGCGCGAUUGGAGCGGCCGAUAUCGGAUUAGCUAGUUGGUGGGGUAAAGGCUCACCAAGGCGACGAUCCGUAGCGGGUCUGAGAGGACGACCCGCCACACUGGAACUGAGACACGGUCCAGACUCCUACGGGAGGCAGCAGUGGGGAAUUUUGGACAAUGGGGGCAACCCUGAUCCAGCCAUGCCGCGUGAGUGAAGAAGGCCUGG